rnacentral:lncRNA from 10 species
AGUUGAUUCAGAAUGUGAACUAUAAGGCGGCAAGUGAAUCAGUUUGGGAACCAGAAGUUCUUGAUUUAUGUCCCAGCACUUUCUGCUGAAGAUAUGACCCAUGGUGAAAGGAGUACAGCACAGUUUAUUAAGCGUGGGCGGCUUUGUAAGCAGUGGAAAUACAUUCAAAUACUCCAGGUUCUUCAACUUCGUGACUCGGACUGGCUUCUUUGCUCUGAAGAUUGCAGACAGCCUAUUGUGGGAGCUCACCUUGUGAUUGUGUUAUGUUUAAUUUCUUCACACCACUCAAAACUCAGCUUCUGAUUUCAAGAGUUCAACAACAGCCCUGAAGGAUUCUGUCUGCUUUACAGCUAUGCAGCUUCUGAAAAGCCACUCUGCCCUAAGAAGUCAGCCUACAUAAUUGAAGACAAGUGAUGUAAAUAAUUUGCCCUGUAUGCUGGUCCCAUGUUCCUGGACUUCUCAGUCUCCCCCAGAACUGUAAAAAAUAAAUUUCCUUUCUUUAUAAAUUACCCAGUCUGUGGUAUUCUGUUAUAGUAAAGGAAAACAAGCUAAGGCAUUAUGUUAAAUCUUGUAAAAAGAACCUCUUUCCUAUGAUUAGAGCUCCUCUCAUAUGCAUAUAGAAAUCCAAUGUUGAAGCUAUCAUAAUUCUACUGAACCAUCAACUUCAACCCACCCAGGUAAGAUUAUGCCUUCUUGAAUAUAAGAGAAACUUCCCCAAUCCCUUACCCAACCAAAAGGAUGAAUCUUCGAGAAAAAUAUCAAAAAGCCCUGCUUCAAAUCAGUAAAUAUUUGGUGGUAGGUGAGUGGUGUUUUCAAAUAAUAAAUACAAUCAUUCACUCUCUGUUAUGACUUUUUGAAGAUAAUUCAUUUUUGUUUUUCUUCUCUUAAGGGCUGAUUUAAACUUUCACAAAUGUAACAUCAUAUUGAAUCACAUCACAUUGAAUUUGUAAUGAAAAAAUGUGUUCCCCAGACGUCUUAUGACCUCUGAAACUUGGAAACCAAGUUGGCAACUGAGGAAAAAACUAUUAUUUCCAUCAAAAACUAUGGCAACAAAAACAUGGUCAUGUUCAUUUUAAUUACUUCUGCCAUUUUACUUGUCCCUCUUUCUAGUUAUCUUUCUUAAGAAUAUUAAUCAGUCUAAAGAGAAUAAAUGAUUUAUUAUUUUCAGAGAGGUAGGUGUUUUGAACAGAUCUUAGAGCCAUGUGGGUCAGUGUUGUCAAUCCCAGAUUUAUCUGUUUAAAAUGCAUGCCUCAUGGACUUACACUUAUUAAUGUUAUAAUGUAGGUAAGAAUCUUACCCAGUGCUCAGUACAUACUAAGUUGUGGGUAAAACCUGCUUAUUACUAAUUAUUCAACAAUUCACAGAAAAAUGGAAAAUUCAGUUGUUCAAAUUAUCACCAAUAUGGGUGUUUUCUUUAUAAUGUGAUAAGAUUAUUUGAAUUUUAUGACACAUAUGCCAUGAAUUUAAGAUAAGUAUAAUAUGGUUGCUUUAAGUUUUUCUUUUUCAAUUACAAUAAUAAUAAUACAAACCUCCUUAGAUCUAUACACUUGAGAUAUUUAAAACACAAUGUGUAUGCAAAACAUCAUAACCUGGUUCCUCAAAUCAACAAGGGACUAUGAGUUUUAUUUGUAUGAGAGGUCUUGGACCUGUGGUAUUUUGUUUACUACUUAUCACUUUUGAUGGCCACCCAUUUGAAUAGAGAUCUAAUCUGGCUCUGGGGGCAGGGAAGAUCUUGGGACAGGAAAACUACCCCUUUCUUUAGGAGAUGGCCCAUUGAUCUUUGCUUUUAUCAGCUCCUGCAACUAUCAUUUGAAGGUAAAGAUCAAGUUAUUUACAAAUUGCUUUAGAUUGAAAGGCAUUAGACUAGGCAAGGUGAAAAUUAAGAGCUUGUGAAUACAUUGUAGGUGGAAAUAAUUUUUGGAAACGAUUUCCCAGUAUAUAUAAUACACAAUUUCUAAAAUGAACAAAAGUUUGAAAUAAGUUUUAAAUAAGAUGUUGAAAAGAUGUAAGCGUAGCUGCUUUAAUCUUAAUCAAUGCAACUUGUGAUGAGGUAAUGAAGAGCAGGCAAUCAGUCAGAACCCAAUCUACCCAAAUGAAAUCUCAAACAACAGAGGAUAUUUUUUACUUUAGUUUGUGUUAAGAGAGAUGGGCAAUGUAAGUGCUAUGCAGAUUUAAUGUGCUAAUGAAAUAAAUUCAUCAAGAUUUAAAUUAUGGAGGAAAUUAAAAUAAGAAACUGUUCUGUACACAAAAGAGACUAUGUCCCAAGAGAAUAUCCAGCCUUGGUAAAGAACAACCCUAAUGAAUUUUAGAAUAGAUUUACAAAAUAUUAUAUAUCACCUGUUUUUAAAGACUUUUUAUUCUUUAGUUUCCUUAGUCAGUCCCUAGAAUUUUUAUUUAGGAAAGACCCUAGAAAUAGAAAUCUGAAAUGCUCAGCCAACAAAAGCUUUGUGAAGUUGUUUGCCCAGCCAAUGUAUUGUUGGUGGUUAGAUCAUUAGUCUACUACUUCGAUUUUGGGUGCUCAGUGAAGUACCUGGAGGCAUUCAAGGGUGUGAGCACAGAUAAUUUAAGGGAAUUAAUUUCUAAUUUAAAUAAUUUCAUCUUUUAUGUUAAAUAUUUCCUAAGGCCAUUUGAUGGAGCUUCAAGUUCUAAUUUUCUUUUUUUUUUCUUUUGAGAUGGAGUGUUGCUCUGUCGCCCAGGCUGGAGUGCAGUGGCAUGAUCUCGGCUCACUGCAAGCUCCGCCUCCCAGGUUCAUGCCAUUCUCCUGCCUCAGCCUCUCAAGUAGCUGGGACUACAGGCACCCGCCACCACGCCUGGCUAAUUUUUUUUGUAUUUUUUAGUAAAGACGGGGUUUCACCAUGUUAGCCAGGAUGGUCUCGAUCUCCUGAUCUCGUGAUCUGCCCUUCCUCAGCCUCCCAAAGUGCUGGGAUCACAGGCGUGAGCCACCAUGCCCAGCCCAAGUUCUAAUUUUCUGCCAUGUUAUAAUAAACCUCUCCCAAUUUUUCAAAGUAAAAUAUCUGUUGCCCAGCACUAAACUAGCAGGGUGAUUGCCCCAGAAAAUUACAAAGAUCCUAGGCAUCACUACUGAGACCAAUCAAAAUGUUUUUAUAAUGAUUUUGAAAAAAUAAAGAAUUUUAAUGACAGGAUAAAAAAUAAAUACAUUUGAAAAUCAAAUGAUUCCAACUAUCAGUUUUCAACAAAACUAAAGAAUUUACCUACUUGGAUUGUUUGUUGAUAGGCCACUUAAAAAUAAUAUUUGCUGAAGAAUUAGAAUGAGACAUUUACAAACACCUGAAAAGAGUUGAAAGAAUUCAAUGUCAUUGCUAGAAUAGCACACUUAUCCUCAUCUAUUUGUUUAUGUGGACAAGUUAUUUCAAUACCUACAUCUAUAAAGAUGAGUGUAUUAGUUCAUUUUCAUAUUGCUGUUACAGACAUGCCCGAGACUGGACAAUUUACAAAAGAAAGAAGUUUAUCAGACUUACAGUUCUAUGUGGCUGAGGAAACCUCACAAACAUGGCGGAAGUUGAAAGGCACAUCUCACAUGGUGGUAGACAAGAGAAGAGAACUUGUGUAGGGAAACUCUGAUUUUUAAAACCAUCAGAUCUGGCGAGACUCAUUCACUAUCAAGAGAACAGUGCAGGAAAGACCCGCCCCCAUAAUUCAAUCACCUCUCACCAGGUUCCUCCCAUGACAUGUGGGAAGUACAAUUCAAGAUGAGAUUUGCUUGGGGGCACAGCCAAACCAUAUUAUUCCACCACUGGCCUCUUCUAAAUCUCAUGUCCUCAUAUUUCAAAAACCAAUCAUGCCUUCCCAAUAGUCCUCCAUAGUCUUAACUCAUUUCAGCAUUAACUCAAAAGUCUACAGUACAAGGUCUCUUCUGAGACAAGUCAAGUCCCUUCUGCCUAUAAGCAUGUAAAAUCAAAAGCAAGUUAGUUACAUCCUAGAUACAAUGUGGGUACAGGCACUGGGUAAAUACAGCCAUUCCAAAUGGGAGAAAUUGGCCAAAACAAAGGGGCUACAACCCCAUGUAAGUCUGAAAUCCAGCAGAGCAGUCAAAUCUUGAAGCUCCAAAAUGAUAUUUUGACUCAAUGUCUUACAUCUCAGUCAUGCUGAUGCAAAAGAUUGCUUCCUGUGGUCUUAGGCAGCCUCGCUCCUGGCUGUUUCCAUGGGCUUGUGUUGAGUGUCUGUGGCUUUUCCAGGCUCACAGUGCAAGCUGUCAGUGAAUCUACAAUUCUGGGUUCUGUAGAAUGAUGUCCCUCUUCUCACAGCUCCACUAGGUAGUGCCCCAGUAGGGACUCUCUGUGGGGACUCCAAACCCACAUUUCCCUUCCAUGCUGCCCUAGCAGAGGUUGUAUAUGAGAGCCCUGCCCCUGAAGCAAACUUCUGCCUGGGCAUCCACUCGUUUCCAUACAUCCUCUGAAAUGUAGGCGGAGGUUCCCAAACCCCAAUUCGUCACUUCUGUGUACCAGCAGGGUCAACACCAUAUAGAAGCUGCCAAGGCUUGGGGCUUGAAUCCUCUGAAACCAUAGCCCAAGCUCUAGGUGUACCCCUUUCAGCCAUGGCUGGAGUAGCUGGGAUGUAGGGCACCAAGUCCUGCGCAUAGCACUGGGACCCUGGGCCCGACCCACAUAACCACUUUUUCCUCCUAGACCUCCAGGCCUGUGAUGGGAGGGGCUUGUGAAGAGCUUUGAAAUGCUUUGGAGACAUUUUCCCUGUUGUCUUUGGGAUUAACAUUUGGCUCCUAGUUACUUAGGCAAAUUUCUGCAGCUGGCUUGAAUUUCUCCUUAGGAAAUGGGAUUUUCUUUUCUAACGCAUUGUCUGGCUGCAUAUUUUCUAAACUUUUAUGCUGUGCUUCCCUUUUAAAACUGAAUAGCUUCAACAGCACCCAAGUCACCUCUUGAGUGCUUUACUGCUUGGAAAUUUAUUCCACCAGAAACCCUAAAUCAUCUCUCUCAAGUUCAAAGUUCCACAAAUCUCUAGGGCAGAGGCAAAAUGCUGCCAGUCUAUUUGCUACAACAUAACAAGAGUCACCUUUGCUCCAGUUCCUAAAAAGUUCCUCAUUUUUAUCUGUGACCACCUCAGCCUAGACUUUAUUGCCCAUAUUUCUAUUAGCAUAUUGGUCAAAGGCAUUCAACCAGUCUCUAGGAGGUUCCAAACUUUCCAACAUUUUCCUGUCUUCUUCUGAGCCCUCCAAACUGUUCCAACCUCUGCUUGUUACCCAGUUCCAAAGUGGCUUCCACAAUUUCAGGUAUCGUUUCAUCAGUGCCCCACCCUACUGGUACCAAUUUACUGUAUUAGUCCAUUUUCAUGCCACUGAUAAAGACACACUUGAAACUGUGCAAUUUAAAAAUAAAGAGGUUUACUGGACUUACAGUUCCACAUGGCUAGGGAGACAUCACAAUUAUGACAGAAGGUAAAAGGUCCAUCUGACAUGGUGGCAGACAAGAGAAGAGAGCUUGUAUAGGGAAAUUCCCAUUUUUAAAACCAUCAGAUCUCGUGAGACUCAUUCAUUAUCAUGAGAACAGUGCAGGAAAGACCUGCCCCAUAAUUCAACCACCUCCUACUGGGUUCCUCCCAUGACACAUGAGAAUUGUGGGAGUUACAAUUCAAGAUUAGAUUUGAGUGAGCGCACAGCCAGACCAUGUCAAUGACCUAAAAAAUAGUAAGAAUAGAAUGUAUGGUAAACUCUGUCCCAUUGUAAUAAUAAAUUAAUCAUUAAUAUAAAUUACGUUCUCAUAGAGAGCUGUGUUUUCAAAAAUCACUUUAAUUUGUUAAAGUUGUUUAUGAAAACAUGAUAAGUUUACAUCAUUUAUAACAGGGACUAAUAAUUACUAGAAGAAUAACUUACUCUUGAUUUUUUUUAUUUACAGAU